GCGAAAAGAACCCCGGCGAGGGGAGUGAAAAAGAACCUGAAACCGUGUACGUACAAGCAGUAGGAGCCUCUUUAUGGGGUGACUGCGUACCUUUUGUAUAAUGGGUCAGCGACUUAUAUUCUGUAGCAAGGUUAACCGUAUAGGGGAGCCGUAGGGAAACCGAGUCUUAACUGGGCGAAUGAGUUGCAGGGUAUAGACCCGAAACCCGGUGAUCUAUCCAUGGGCAGGUUGAAGGUUGGGUAACACUAACUGGAGGACCGAACCGACUAAUGUUGAAAAAUUAGCGGAUGACUUGUGGAUGGGGGUGAAAGGCCAAUCAAACCGGGAGAUAGCUGGUUCUCCCCGAAAGCUAUUUAGGUAGCGCCUCGUGAACUCAUCUUCGGGGGUAGAGCACUGUUUCGACUAGGGGGUCAUCCCGACUUACCAACUCGAUGCAAACUGCGAAUACCGAAGAAUGUUAUCACGGGAGACACACGGCGGGUGCUAACGUCCGUCGUGAAGAGGGAAACAACCCAGACCGCCAGCUAAGGUCCCAAAGUCAUGGUUAAGUGGGAAACGAAGUGGGAAGGCUCAGACAGCCAGGAUGUUGGCUUAGAAGCAGCCAUCAUUUAAAGAAAGCGUAAUAGCUCACUGGUCGAGUCGGCCCGCGCGGAAGAUGUAACGGGGCUAAACCAU
rnacentral:rRNA from 1 species